rnacentral:rRNA from 1 species
UCUCUUCUAGGAUAGUAUUAGAAGUAGUAUCUGCCCAAUGAAUAAUUAAAUGGCCGCGGUAUUUUGACCGUGCAAAGGUAGCAUAAUCAUUUGUCUUUUAAUUGAAGACUGGAAUGAAUGGUUUGACGAAAUAAAAGCUGUCUUAAUUUGAUUUGUUGAAUUUAAUUUUUGAGUUAAAAAGCUUAAAUGACAAUAGAGGACGAGAAGACCCUAUAGAGUUUUAUAAUCUUGUUAAAAAAUAAUUUAUUGGAAUUAGUAUUUUGUUUUUAAUUUGAUUAUUUGAUUGGGGUGAUAUUAAAAUAUGGGAAACUUUUAAUCAACGGUUAACUUGAAUAUUGAAGGAAAAGAUAAUGAUCUUGUAAUAUGGAUAAAAAGAAAAAUUACCUUAGGGAUAACAGCGUUAUUUUAUUUGAGAGUUCAUAUUGAAAAUAAAGUUUGCGACCUCGAUGUUGGAUUAAGAAUAUGUACUGGUGCAGUAGUUGGUAUUAUAGGUCUGUUCGACCUUUAAAUUCUUACAUGAUCU